rnacentral:misc_RNA from 1 species
AGCAGCCGCGGUAAUUCCAGCUCCAAUAGCGUAUAUUAAAGUUGUUGCAGUUAAAAAGCUCGUAGUUGAAUUUCGGGAUUAAUAUGUUGGUCGUGCCUUGGUACGUACUGGCAUUAUUGAUUCCUACCUUCUGAAGAACCUCGAUGUCAUUAAUUUGGUGUCUUGGGGAAUCAGGACCGUUACUUUGAAAAAAUUAGAGUGUUUAAAGCAGGCUCGCGCUUGAAUACAUUAGCAUGGAAUAAUGAAAUAGGACGUUUGAUUCUAUUUUGUUGGUUUCUAGGAUCGACGUAAUGAUUAAUAGGGAUAGUUGGGGGCAUUAGUAUUCAAUUGUCAGAGGUGAAAUUCUUGGAUUUAUUGAAGACUGACUACUGCGAAAGCAUUUGCCAAGGAUGUUUUCAUUAAUCAAGAACGAAAGUUAGGGGAUCGAAGACGAUCAGAUACCGUCGUAGUCUUAACCAUAAACUAUGCCGACUAGGGAUCGGAUGAUGUUAAUUUUUAAUGACUCAUUCGGCGUCCG